rnacentral:rRNA from 1 species
GAUAAACGCUGGCGGCGUGCUUAACACAUGCAAGUCGAACGAAGUUUUUCUUUCGGGAGGAACUUAGUGGCGGACGGGGGAGUAACGCGUGGGUAACCUGCCCUGUACAGGGGGACAACAGCUGGAAACGGCUGCUAAUACCGCAUAAGCCCUUAGCACUGCAUGGUGCAUAGGGAAAAGGAGCAAUCCGGUACAGGAUGGACCCGCGUCUGAUUAGCCAGUUGGCAGGGUAACGGCCUACCAAAGCGAUGAUCAGUAGCCGAUCUGAGAGGAUGUACGGCCACAUUGGGACUGAGACACGGCCGAGACUCCUACGGGAGGCAGCAGUGGGGAAUAUUGCACAAUGGAGGAAACUCUGAUGCAGCGACGCCGCGUGAGUGAAGAAGUAUUUCGGUAUGUAAAGCUCUAUCAGCAGGGAAGAAAAUGACGGUACCUGACGAAGAAGCACCGGCUAAAUACGUG